rnacentral:lncRNA from 1 species
AUAAUUACUACGUCAAGUCCAGUCGUAAGUAAAAAAAAAAAAUGUAUAUAAUUGUUUGUAAAACUAAGCAUGAGAUGAUGCUAGGCAUGUAUUUUAAUUUAAAAUAAUUGACGUGAAAUUUAAUAGCUUGUGAAAGUAGUGAUUGUGGUGGUACUAAUAAGAGUUUGUAAUUAACCUUAUUUGCAUCUUUGCGCUUACCUGACAACUAAUUUAACGUGUACUCAAAAGUUAGAGAAACAUAACUCUGUGAUUACUUAAGAGAGAUGAAAGAAGUUCUGUUGUAGCUUUCUGAAAGCGGGAAGAGGAUCAAGCCAUAAAAAGUCGGCUAACUAGUGCUAGAGUGACCGCUGACAGGUAACUUUAAAUGGUUCCUCAGAUAGAUUUUAUGUUCGUUUGAGAGGAACUGUGUUUACACAGCGACAAUUGAUAUGGAACAGCCCCUUUACAGUAUGACCUACCUAUCUGUCUGGAAUAAAAUCUAAGGAUUUUGAAGAUUGCAACGCCGUGGAAUCAUAAAUUAUGAUACAAAUCUCAAAAAAAUGCAGAAGAGCUUCAAUCCUACUUUCGAAGAUGCCAAAUGAGAAAGGAAAUUGUUAUUAAUGCUCGCGAUUCACCUUGAAAUAUCUUUUAAUUUAAUUCGUUCUGGACUUUUCUAUAUUCUAUUAAGUGGUCGUAACUGAUAUAUUGCAGUUGGUGUACCAGAUGUCAAUUUUAUGAGAAUCGGUUCUUUAAAUGCCAAAGUACAGAAGACCAUUGUGGCAACAGGAAAAUCCAGCAGAUUAACUCGAUUGAAGAGUUGGGGAUCUGCUGAUAAUCUCUCAGAUUUGUUGGCUUCCAAGAUGAUGCCGCCUCCGAAAUCCGCACCUCCGAAGAAGAAGAAACUGAAGAAACCAAUGACGAAUGAUCGCGAAAGCAAUUCCUUCGGAAAGGGGAGGACUGUAGAAGCCGAAGACGCUUAGUCAAUAUAAUAUGCCAUCGAAAUGCUUUUUAAUCCGACGUGGUUUCGUGAAUCUUCACAGCAUCAAGUACUUCCUUACAGAAAAAGUUCACGCGAAAGAGCCAAACUUCUCGCUAAACUGUUUUAUACAAAUCUCUACGACAUUUUUUACAUUAGCAUCAGGAACUUUGUUAUUGUUUUUUACUGUUAAAUCGUGCUCUUUAUAAUAUUUUUUUUUAAGACAAAGAGUAUCUGUUAGAAUCUCGAAAUCGUUACUUAUUUUUAAAAUGCAUUUAUAUAUAAAUACUGUAUAUAUAUAUAUAUUUUUAUACUCGCAUUUUUCGGCGGCGUGAACA